rnacentral:misc_RNA from 1 species
GAUAUUGACAAAAUAGCCUUGGAGAAUAGGAGUAAAAAGAUCAAGAAAGGCAAUAAAAAAGAGAAGCACACUUAUGAAAAGGACCCCACCUCAACACUCUCUGUGGAGCCCGAGGCACCGUCGUGUCCGGCCUUCAUGGCACCAGACCCACCAUCUAGUAGCUCUGUGGAUUAUGAAAAUGCCCCUUCAAAGAGAAAACAGAAGGAGCUUAAACUAAAGGCUAGUGAGUCUAUCUCUAGUAAUGGCACAUCAGAACCGAAGUAUGUGAACGCCAAGAAAAAAGGUCAGAACAAUGAAGACGUUGAUGGAUAUGUGGACCCGAAAGUGAGCAAUACCAGAUUGUACUCCACCGGGGAGGGGGCAGAGUAUUAUGUGUGUGAUAAUAAUAAGGCCACAGCAAAAUCUAAAAAAGGUUGGAAAGCCCCACCGCGAAAUCCUCUCGAAGAUAGUAUAACUUCAACAUGCUCUGCAUUGGACUAUGUGAAUAUGCAGAGUCCGUGGAAAUACCUUGAAUUGGUCCCUGAAUCCAAACCUGUCGAUGAGCCCCAAGAUUUGUAUGAACCAAUGAAUUCAUAAGGAUUGCUGAAGUUUGUAUCGUUUUGAAUACAGUAUAUAGCGUUUGUUGUAUGUCUAGAAGAGGAAAAAAUCUGUAUUGAAUAGGAGAAUUAAUUUAAAUUAUCGAAAUGGAAGUGUGAUUUUGGUGGUUUAGUUCAGUUUGUGAACUUUGUGAAAUGUGUGUAAAAAGUGACCAAGAAACUACUGAUAAAAUUGCAUUAUUUAUGAGUAGGGUCUGGUAUACAACUUACGUUGUAUGAAAUAGUUUUCUGCCCUGUUCUAGUGUUUUAUUUGAAACAGAAAGUGGCGGAGUGGAAAGAAUUGACUUAACACAAGUAGUUGUAAAAUUUAAGCAUGAGAGUGAUAUUUAAGCAUACAUGAUUUGGUAUAUCUAGUCCAAUGGUUUUACAUAUGGAUGUAUUCUAGCUACAUUUAACUUAUAAAUACAUGUUUAAGUGUUUUUUUAUAUUUUGUUUAUUUUUGAGCUUGUUUACGCGUUCCGUGCGUCACUUCCGUAUGUGUAAAUUACCAGUACAAACCUAUGUGCGUGCUUUUAUGUUUUAAGAGAAUAUUUAGUAGCAUCUAUAUGAAGAAAAUAUUUAUAUAGAUAAAAGAAAAAAAUCCAAUAGUUUU